rnacentral:rRNA from 1 species
GACGAACGCUGGCGGCGUGCCUAAUACAUGCAAGUAGAACGCUGAAGGAGGAGCUUGCUCUUCUGGAUGAGUUGCGAACGGGUGAGUAACGCGUAGGUAACCUGCCUGGUAGCGGGGGAUAACUAUUGGAAACGAUAGCUAAUACCGCAUAAGAGUAGAUGUUGCAUGACAUUUACUUAAAAGGUGCAAUUGCAUCACUACCAGAUGGACCUGCGUUGUAUUAGCUAGUUGGUGGGGUAACGGCUCACCAAGGCGACGAUACAUAGCCGACCUGAGAGGGUGAUCGGCCACACUGGGACUGAGACACGGCCCAGACUCCUACGGGAGGCAGCAGUAGGGAAUCUUCGGCAAUGGACGGAAGUCUGACCGAGCAACGCCGCGUGAGUGAAGAAGGUUUUCGGAUCGUAAAGCUCUGUUGUAAGAGAAGAACGAGUGUGAGAGUGGAAAGUUCACACUGUGACGGUAUCUUACCAGAAAGGGACGGCUAACUACGUGCCAGCAGCCGCGGUAAUACGUAGGUCCCGAGCGUUGUCCGGAUUUAUUGGGCGUAAAGCGAGCGCAGGCGGUUAGAUAAGUCUGAAGUUUAAGGCUGUGGCUUAACCAUAGUACGCUUUGGAAACUGUUUAACUUGAGUGCAAGAGGGGAGAGUGGAAUUCCAUGUGUAGCGGUGAAAUGCGUAGAUAUAUGGAGGAACACCGGUGGCGAAAGCGGCUCUCUGGCUUGUAACUGACGCUGAGGCUCGAAAGCGUGGGGAGCAAACAGG